rnacentral:rRNA from 1 species
UGGGGAAUCUUGGACAAUGGGGGCAACCCUGAUCCAGCGACGCCGCGUGGGUGAUGAAGGCCUUCGGGUUGUAAAGCCCUUUUCCUGGGGACGAUGAUGACGGUACCCGGGGAAUAAGCACCGGCUAACUCCGUGCCAGCAGCCGCGGUAAGACGGAGGGUGCUAGCGUUGUUCGGAAUGACUGGGCGUAAAGGGCGCGUAGGCGGCCAGGCUAGUCGGGUGUGAAAGCCCGGGGCUCAACCCCGGAACGGCAUCCGAUACUGCCUGGCUGGAGACCGGGAGAGGAGGGUGGAAUACCCAGUGUAGAGGUGAAAUUCGUAGAUAUUGGGUGGAACACCGGUGGCGAAAGCGGCUCUCUGGCCCGGAUCUGACGCUGAGGCGCGAAAGCGUGGGGAGCAAACAGG